GAUGAACGCUGGCGGCGUGCCUAAUACAUGCAAGUCGAGCGAACAGAUGAGGAGCUUGCUCCUCUGACGUUAGCGGCGGACGGGUGGGUAACACGUGGAUAACCUACCUAUAAGACUGGGAUAACUUCGGGAAACCGGAGCUAAUACCGGAUAAUAUAUUGAACCGCAUGGUUCAAUAGUGAAAGACGGUUUUGCUGUCACUUAUAGAUGGAUCCGCGCCGCAUUAGCUAGUUGGUAAGGUAACGGCUUACCAAGGCAACGAUGCGUAGCCGACCUGAGAGGGUGAUCGGCCACACUGGAACUGAGACACGGUCCAGACUCCUACGGGAGGCAGCAGUAGGGAAUCUUCCGCAAUGGGCGAAAGCCUGACGGAGCAACGCCGCGUGAGUGAUGAAGGUCUUCGGACCGUAAAACUCUGUUAUUAGGGAAGAACAAAUGUGUAAGUAACUAUGCACGUCUUGACGGUACCUAAUCAGAAAGCCACGGCUAACUACGUG
rnacentral:rRNA from 1 species